CCUACGGGUGGCAGCAGUCGAGAAUCAUUCACAAUGGGGGAAACCCUGAUGGUGCGACGCCGCGUGGGGGAAUGAAGGUCUUCGGAUUGUAAACCCCUGUCAUGUGGGAGCGAAUUAAAAAGAUAGUACCACAAGAGGAAGAGACGGCUAACUCUGUGACAGCAGCCGCGGUCAUACAGAGGUCUCAAGCGUUGUUCGGAAUCACUGGGCGUAAAGCGUGCGUAGGCUGUUUCGUAAGUCGUGGGUGAAAGGCGCGGGCUCAACCCGCGGACGGCACAUGAUACUGCGAGACUAGAGAAAUGAAGGGGGAACCGGAAUGCUCGGUGUAGCAGUGAAAUGCGUAGAUAUCGAGAGGAACACUCGUGGCGAAGGCGGCUUACUGGACUGUAACUGACGUUGAGGCUCGAAAGCGUGGGGAGCAAACAGGAGUAGAUACCCGAGUAGUC
rnacentral:rRNA from 1 species